rnacentral:rRNA from 1 species
CAAUAGCGUAUAUUAAAGUUGUCGCGGUUAAAAAGCUCGUAGUUGGAUUUCUGCCGAGGACGACCGGUCCGCCCUCUGGGUCAGUAUCUGGCUUGGCCUGGGCAUCUUCUUGGAGAACGUAGCUGCACUUGACUGUGUGGUGCGGUAUCCAGGACUUUUACGUUGAGGAAGUUAGAAUGUUUCAAGCAGGCAUACGCCUUGAAUACAUUAGCAUGGAAUAAUAAGAUAGGACCUCGGUUCUAUUUUGUUGGUUUCUAGAACUGAGGUAAUGAUUAAUAGGGAUAGUUGGGGGCAUUCGUAUUUAACUGUCAGAGGUGAACAUCUUGGAUUUGUUAAAGACGGACUACUGCGAAAGCAUUUGCCAAGGAUGCUUUCAUUGAUCAAGAACAAAAGUUAGGGAUCGAAGAUGAUUAGAUACCAU